CACGUAGGGCGCGAGCGUUGUCCGGAUUUAUUGGGCGUAAAGGGCUCGUAGGCGGUUUGUCGCGUCGAUAGUGAAAGCCCACGGCUUAACCGUGGGUUGGCUGUCGAUACGGGCAGGCUAGAGGUAGGUAUGGGAGAGUGGAAUGUCCGGUGUAGCGGUGGAAUGCGCAGAUAUCGGACGGAACACCGGUGGCGAAGGCGGCUCUCUGGGCCUUACCUGACGCUGAGGAGCGAAAGCGUGGGGAGCGAACAGG
rnacentral:rRNA from 1 species